UACGUAGGGGGCGAGCGUUGUCCGGAAUUACUGGGCGUAAAGCGCACGUAGGCGGGUUGUUAAGUCAGGGGUGAAAUCCCGGAGCUCAACUCCGGAACUGCCUUUGAUACUGGCAAUCUAGAGACUGGAAGAGGUUAGUGGAAUUCCUGGUGUAGCGGUGGAAUGCGCAGAUAUCAGGAGGAACACCAAUAGCGAAGGCAGCUCGCUGGGACGUUACUGACACUAAGGCGCGAAAGCGUGGGGAGCGAACAGG
rnacentral:rRNA from 1 species